ACAUUUGCACUUUACCAUUUGGUGUUUGACAUUAAGCAUUUUAAAUUGUAUCUUUUCCAUUUUCCAUUAGGCGUUUUCCAUUUGCAUCUGACAUUUGGAUUUUCAAGCGGUAUGUAAAUGAGAAGGCGUGGCCAAAGGCCGGAGGGAGGGUUUGAAACGGCUGAGGCGCAGAGGCUCCUCACGGACAGCAGGGGGAGCGCUGACUGCUAAAGAGCACACUGCAAUGAAAACGGAGCAAGGACAGUGAGCAGGGUCGGAGCAUGGGGGUCAGAGGGAAGACUAUUAGCUAUGAGGCAGUGGCUUCAACUUGAUGAAAGUGUUCUAACAUUUGUGUCCAUGUGGCCUUACACACAAAGUCGUCAGUGAAAAGAGCGUUAACAACUCUACCGCAAUUCCCUGUCUGUCUGACAGCGAGAAAGCAGCGGACCAUGCAGCAGACAGAGAUGUGUCACCUGAACAUCACAGUGAAGGAGCUUUAGAUCAGCAGUCUGCUGCAGUGUUUGCAGAAGUGCUCACUGGGUCACAGCACAAGCUGGACGUUAGCUACACAGCUGAUUCUGUAACCACUGGAUCAGUGGACGCCACUAGACUCAGGAGUUUUUCUCUCACUCAGACACAUUGACACUUUAUUAAAGUCUUGUAUUUUA